ensembl:lncRNA
AAUAUUAGGCAUUAAAAAAAACGGGAAAAUAUUUGAAAUUUUUUUCUUAAAAGGAACAAAUGUCAAUAUUAAGAUUAAAAUGCAAUGUACAGUUUAACUGAAGAUUAGCAAAACUGAAGAGAGACUAUGUGAAUUGUAAAAUAGGUUGCUACAAUUUGUAACUGGGAAAUAGAUACACACAGAUUAGCUACUAUGAAGCCAGAGAUAAAGAGGUAGAAACUAUUAGAGUGUUACAAGAAAUAAGAGAAAAGAAGGACCAACAUUUCAUUUAAGUUUUGAGAGAAUAGAUAAGGAUUCAUAUUUGAAGAUAUGAAGGCAUCAGUCUCAAACAGAACAGAGGAAAAUAAACCUACACCAACCAAGAUGACUUAGGGUGAAGCUACAGAACACACACACACACACACACACACAAUUUUUAAAAACUUAAGCACAGCUGAAGGAAGAAGUGAAAGAGGAAAAGAAAAACCAGAGGGAAGAGAAGAAAAACAAUGAGAGAGAAAGACAGAUAUGCAAAGGACGACAAUUAGCCUGGUAAAAAGCUGUUCCCUGGCUGCAGAAGAUGCUGGAGGACGGCGGAAUAUUGCCACAUGCCCCAGGACCAUUCUUUUAAUCUAGAAUCUAUACAGGGCUAAGGCACCAAACAAAAGUAGGGAUGAAAUAAAGAUGUAGAAAUAAAGACUGGAAGACUAUAGCUAAUCAUGGCCCCUCAAGGAAAAGGGCGAAUUUUGAGAAGGAGAUUAAACCCAAACGGAAGAAGUUAAGUCCAAACAGAGCUGAAAUCUGAAUCAAUGACAACAUAACAACGGGUGGGUGAGAUAUGGGUAAGGGGAGUCCGGGGGCAUUUCUGGGGAAAGAAAUUGCCGAAAUGCACCCAGUAAAGAUUAGAAAAAGCAGAUACUAUCUCCCCUUUCUCUGUUCUUUCUUUUUUUUCAGUCUUCUUUUCACUACCUGUCAUUAUACACUUUGUUUCUUCACUUUCUCUCCUACUAGAAUCUAAACUCCCCGAAGGUGGGGACUUUAUAUCAUCCCCUAGCACAGAACUGAUGCUCAUGUUUUACUGAGAACAAGAUAAAGAAUCAGGUUGUGCAGAAAGCCUCCAAAUGUGUGGGGCCGAGACUGUCUUCUUUCAGGAACAGGCGGAAUGGGGUCAAGAUGUAACCAGCAUUUCUGAACAUCUCUCAGGUUCUGGGCUCCACACGACUCCCAUCUUCUCGUUGUACGUGGACUGUGAGAUAACAAAAACCAUAUGCCGGUGAGGGGCUUCCCAGGUGGCGCUAGUGGAAAAGAGCCUGCCUGACAAUGCGGGAGACUUAAGAGAAGCAGGUUCAACCCCUGGGUCGGGAAGAUCCCUUAGAGGGGGAAAUGAAACCCACUCCAGUAUAGGGUCGCAUAGAACUGGACACGCCUGAAGUGACUUGGGACACACACACACACACACACACACACACACACACACACACACACACAUGCCGGUGAGCAAAACUAACUGGUCUUUCAUUCUGAUUUAAAACCCAAGCUGAGCAUUUUUUAUCUGCGUUUAGUGUUUAUAGACAUUUCUGCCUGUUUCCAAGGGAGACACAGGCUGUGAUCUUACAUCCAAUGUAAUAUCCUGUCUGACUGAGGCAGUAAAGAUCCUGUUUUGUAUUCUGGGGGAAGCUUUCACACUCUGGAUAUAGCCACACUCAAUACCACCCAGUGACCCAGUAAUUCUAGUUCUCAAACGCCUACCUGUGUAGACCCCAGGCCACAGGAACCCUGAAAUUCCGGUUCUAACAAUGAAUCACUGGAAAUCAAGAGGCCCCAUCUUGAGCUCACAGGCAGCCCUGCCUCCUUGUCCACAGGCUUCCCGUUCUUUGUGCUCUCAGCUGCACCUAAGGACACCCUCCUUAGGCCCCUUGAGGUCUGCUGUUGGGUGUGACAGCCAGAGAGACUCUCCAGUUCUAACCACCACCCCGACCCCACCCUCAGCAAUAGCCCUACAGCCCAUGUGAGGGGCACACUGACCAGACAGCUGCUCUGAUGAACAGGGUCGGACACUGCGUCCUCACUUGAGUCCUGACAGCAGGGGAUGACCCCGUAAACACAGCCGAGGGCAAAGAGCAAGAACACAUUCCCUUCCUCCAUCACGGCAAACAGCUAUGCACCUGUUCUUCGAACACCUUCAAGAACAGGUGCAGUAGCUGCCACACAGAAA